rnacentral:sRNA from 1 species
UUGUAAUGCGCGUUAGGGGUAGCAGUGGAAAUCCUUUUUGCGAGGCACGAGUAAAAAGAUUGAAACGAAUAACCCGACCCGAA